AACGAACGCUGGCGGCAUGCCUAACACAUGCAAGUCGAACGAGACCUUCGGGUCUAGUGGCGCACGGGUGCGUAACGCGUGGGAACCUGCCCUUAGGUUCGGAAUAACUCCCCGAAAGGGGUGCUAAUACCGGAUAAUGUCUUCGGACCAAAGAUUUAUCGCCUUUGGAUGGGCCCGCGUUGGAUUAGCUAGUUGGCAGGGUAAAAGCCUACCAAGGCGACGAUCCAUAGCUGGUCUGAGAGGAUGAUCAGCCUCACUGGGACUGAGACACGGCCCAGACUCCUACGGGAGGCAGCAGUGGGGAAUAUUGGACAAUGGGCGAAAGCCUGAUCCAGCAAUGCCGCGUGAGUGAUGAAGGCCUUAGGGUUGUAAAGCUCUUUUACCCGGGAUGAUAAUGACAGUACCGGGAGAAUAAGCUCCGGCUAACUCCGUG
rnacentral:rRNA from 1 species